AUGAUAUCUUCUUCGUCUCGACGAACUUCACGAAUGGAGGCUAUCUCCUCCUCCGACUCAACCCACAGCGUUCGACCUCUCCAUCACCGUCUCAAUCAAAAUCACGACGCCCAAAUUCCUCACAUCUUCGUUCUCAUCUUCAUCCGCGGCUACCUCUCAAUGUUCGUCUUCCUUCAAGCUUCGCCGCGAUUUACCUCACUCUGUCUCAAUCUCUCUCUCAAUCUCCACCUCAACGUUCUUUGA